CGAACGGAUAGAGAGGGGGGUGGGGGAGGAGAGAGAGGGAGGCGGAGACAAAACGGUGAGUGUUAUAGGAGAAGGGGGAACAAAAAGAAGGUUGAAAAUGGCUUUUCACCGACCUUCCAAACUAUAAUCCCAAAACCCAAAAUUGCCCUGCCCUGCCAAUCAAAUUCCCUUUCUAGUUUAGACCCCAAACGAGCCAACUCUCUCUCUCUCUUCCUUUCUUUAAUUCCCUCUCUUUAUUACUACUCUCCUUCCCUCUCUCUAAAAACCCCCAAAACCAGACAAACCCAGAAGUAGAGCAGCUCUAUGUGUUUGGUGGGCUUGGCUGGGCUGCACUGUUCUUCAAUGGCCGCUGUUUUAUUCAGUGACCAAGCUGCCCUUGGUUACCACGGGCUCUCCUCUUACUCUGCCUUUGUUAAUCAAAGGUCAUUUUGGGGCAUUCGUAUAUAGAGAGAGAAGAGUCCCGGUUACAAUGUAGGGUGCUUAAAAGGCAGACAGGAUGGAGCCAGGCAAAAAUAUAUACGUAGUUUUUUCUCUCUCAAAAAAACUCACACCCCUCUUUUGUUGUUGUUGCUGUUGUUUUUUUCUUUUUUGUUGUUUUUUUUUCUUUUUAUUUAAAGGAAGACGGGAGGGAAGAAGAAAGAAGAAGCAUAUGAUUCUUCUUCAACGAUGGGUAUUUGUUAACACACAUCAAAAUGCAGAGGAGACAGAAAAAGGAGCAUUUUGAUGCCUUUUCUUUAACAUAUUUCUUUGGGGUCUACAGGCUCUGGUCUGUUGCUUAUCGGGGGCAAAUAUUCCAGAUACAACAUUACUUUAUUUUAUCAGAUGUUGCAUGCACUCCUGUUUGACAUGGCCAUCAUGCUCACUAUACGGGAGGAUAUUUCUCUCUUGAUGCUCCAUGGUUGGGCAACAAUGUCAUGUGUAGGACAUGCAUGUCCUCCCAACAGGACGGCAAAAAAUUAAGACAAGAUGUGGAUUGCUCGUAUUCUGUCCUAUAUUGUGAGUGGUUUUCUCGGUUUUGGUGAAAGCGUGACCUCUCGUUAGCCUUGGAAAAAUCAGAGGUUGCUAUAGGAAUGGACACAAAUGCCUGCCUGCCAUCUCUAUGGAUAGAUAGAGGCUUGGAAUGGUCUAGACGGUCAUCGAGUGCUUGCUUGCGAAUCCAUAGAGAUCUCGCUUUGAUGGUAGUGGAUGCUCCCGUGGUCUUGUGGUUUAACAUGUAAUCGGCACCUCGUUGUAUGAGAAAUUUUGUUGCAAUUUACUCCUCCGUCCACCUACCAUCUUACUAUGCCGCCCUCAUCCAACGGUGCCGUUAAAACUAGAAUACGUGAGAGCUACCGGCACGUGUCUCAGUAUGAGGGAGACUUGUUGUGAAGACAUUGCUGGAUGAUUUUUACAUGACUCGAUCCAGCUUGCUAUGUUUUUUGCCUUCGCUUGCAAGUGGUUGCUUGUUUUCUCUAUAGGCAUUCCAACUUUAGUUAUCGUAUGCAGAGCCCGAACUCCUUAUUCUUGAGGAUAUCACUUUUUAUUUAUUUUUUUGCUAAAACAUAUCUCAUGUUUUACCGCGGCCGCUGUUGAUUCUCACGUCAAGCAUCUUUUUUGUUUUAAAUUCUAGACAUUUAAAGAAAGCUUCGAACACGCCUUUGAUUUUGCUUUUUGUUUGCUUCAAUUCUUGGCUUUAUUCUUCUUCAGCCAUGUUGUCCUUGUAGUAACUAUUUUUCCAGGCUAUGCAAGAUCGCUCCACACUAUGAAAGACUGCCCGCUGCAGCGCGCGAGAAGUAUACCUGGUAGGGACUAGAGUGGAGGACACGCAUCACACCUGUGCGAGGAGGUUGUUGUGGCGAUGUGGUGGUGCAUGCAGCUUCCUCCAGAUCUAACAAUGGCCUUUCUUGGUGUCUUUGAAAUCAUCUCGGUGAUGGCUUCCUUGUGAGGCAACGUGUCGCGGUGGUGAGGGUUCGAUGUAGUUGAUCUAUUUUUUUUUUUUUUAUCUCAUCUCUUUUUUUUUUCUCUUGGUUUCCAUGCCUGACCCUCUUCAAAAUAGCAGAGUGGCCAAUAAGUUUUUUUUUAAUCAAAUUUGAUCUUUAUUUUUUUAUUGUUAUUUUUUUUUAAUUUUAUCCUUCAACAAUUGAUUGGUUGGAAAUUGAGUUUUGUAAUUUUUUUCAAUUUACUUUCUAUGGGGUAAUCCUAAUCGCACCAUUCGGUUCAUGAAUUUAGUAAGUUAACAAGGGUUAACUCGGGUUGGGUUUUUUUUGUUAUUUUUUUAAUUUUUAUUUUGUUCGUCAAUAUUAGAUUGGGUUAGGAAUGGAUCCUUGUAAUUUUUUUUCUUUUCAUGAGAUUAUUUCGUUCUCACGAUAAGUUUAAUAAGUUGAAUCGAGUUAUUUUUUUUAA